rnacentral:rRNA from 1 species
UACGUAGGGUCCGAGCGUUGUCCGGAAUUAUUGGGCGUAAAGGGCUCGUAGGCGGUCUGUCGCGUCGGGAGUGAAAACUUACAGCUUAACUGUGAGCGUGCUUCCGAUACGGGCAGACUUGAGGUAUUCAGGGGAGAACGGAAUUCCUGGUGUAGCGGUGAAAUGCGCAGAUAUCAGGAAGAACACCCGUGGCUAAGGCGGCUCUCUAGUACGGUACUGACGCUGAGACGCGAAAGCGUGGGGAGCGAACAGG